rnacentral:rRNA from 1 species
GAUGAACGCUGGCGGCGUGCUUAACACAUGCAAGUCGAACGAUGAAGCCCAGCUUGCUUGGUGGAUUAGUGGCGAACGGGUGAGUAACACGUGAGUAACCUGCCCUUAACUCUGGGAUAAGCCUGGGAAACUGGGUCUAAUACCGGAUAUGAGCGUCCACCGCAUGGUGGGUGUUGGAAAGAUUUAUCGGUUUUGGAUGGACUCGCGGCCUAUCAGCUUGUUGGUGAGGUAAUGGCUCACCAAGGCGACGACGGGUAGCCGGCCUGAGAGGGUGACCGGCCACACUGGGACUGAGACACGGCCCAGACUCCUACGGGAGGCAGCAGUGGGGAAUAUUGCACAAUGGGCGGAAGCCUGAUGCAGCGACGCCGCGUGAGGGAUGACGGCCUUCGGGUUGUAAACCUCUUUCAGUAGGGAAGAAGCGAAAGUGACGGUACCUGCAGAAGAAGCACCGGCUAACUACGUG